AAUCCGAAAAGGUAAUCCUAGUGAAAGUUAGGUGCACAAAGCUUGGGGCUAAGGGUAUUGAGAAAUACCUAAGAUCGCCAAGUUGCCGAA
rnacentral:ncRNA from 1 species